AUUGAACGCUGGCGGCAGGCCUAACACAUGCAAGUCGAACGAGUGGCGGACGGGUGAGUAAUGUCUGGGAAACUGCCCGAUGGAGGGGGAUAACUACUGGAAACGGUAGCUAAUACCGCAUACCAUCGGAUGUGCCCAGGUGGGAUUAGCUAGUAGGUGGGGUAACGGCUCACCUAGGCGACGAUCCCUCGCUGGUCUCAGUGGAUGACCAGCCAACCGGGAACUGAGACCAGGACCAGACGCCUACGGGAGGAAGCAGUGGGGAAUAUUGGCAAAGGGGCGCAAGCCUGAUGCAGCCAUGCCGCGGGUAUGAAGAAGGCCUUCGGGUUGUAAAGUACUUUCAGCGAGGAGGCGUUACUCGCAGAAGAAGCACCGGCUAACUCCGUGCCAGCAGCCGCGGUAAUAC
rnacentral:rRNA from 1 species